GAAGUUCGCCAGGCAGUCGCUGCGCACCUCGUCGUGCGUGGAGGAAAGUCCGGGCCCCAUAGAGCAGGAUGCCGGCUAACGGCCGGGCGCCGCGAGGCGACGGAAAGUGCAACAGAGAGCAGACCGCCGAUGGCUGUCCGGGCUUCGCCGCCGCAAGGCGGCAAGGCCCCUCUCCUGAAGAGGAGGGCUUUGUGCAUUGCGCAAAGGGCGCUGCCGCGCAAGCGGCAGUGGCGGGAGCGGCGAAUGCCGCUGCCGACGGAUCAGGCAAGGGUGAAACGGUGCGGUGCCGUGCGCAAGCGCGGUGCCGGUCGGCGCGACAGCGCCGUCGGGUAAGAGCCCACCGCAGGACUGGCAACAGGACUGGCACGGUAAACCCCAUCCGGGGCAAGGCCAAAUAGGGGAGUAAUGGCGUGGCUCGCGUCGCUCCCGGGUAGGCUGCUAGAGCGUCACGGCAACGUGUCGCCCAGAGGAAUGACUGCCCGAUGACGUCGGCCUGAGCCGGCGGCGUUCGACAGAACCCGGCUUAUCGGCGAACUUCCCUC
rnacentral:RNase_P_RNA from 1 species